CGCACAUUCCAUCUUCCAUGUGGAGAGUGCACUAUCACUCUAGAAGAUGUCCGUCUGCAAUUGGGAUUACCAGUGGACGGGUACCCAGUCACCGGGUCUGCCCAAUCUAGUAAUUAGGAGGCGGUGUGUUACGAGCUUUUGGGCGUUAUUCAGAAGAAAAUGGAGGGAGGUAAAGUCGAGAUGGGCUGGUUACGUGACACAUUCCCUGAUCCGGAUGAAGAUUCAACCGAAAUUGGAAGAAUCCGAUAUGCUUGAGCAUACAUUCUUCAAUUAAUUGGAGGUUAUCUGAUGCCCGACACGUCACGGAGCCGCGUACAUCUAAGAUGGCUGCUGAAACUCGUUAAUUUUAGAGCAGUCAGUGAAUUGAGUUGGGGGUCUGUCGUCUUGGCAACGUUAUAUCGGGAGAUGUGCGGGACGACGUGACCGAGGAGAGCAAACAUCGGAGGUUGCCUGUCACUACUGCAGUCAUGGGCACGGUUUCGCUUUCCAUUUCUACGUCCUCGAGUUAACCACUCAUAUACAUUUCCACUCAUAACGAGGUGGAACCAUCUGGCAAGUUAUGCUCGAUUACAGUCCUCUCUUGAAGAUAUACGGCUUCUAUUGGACCAACGGUCGGAAGCACAAAUAAUUUCAAUGGACAUGAUACGAGGAUCCGGCUAUUUGGGCAGUAAUCCUGGAAGAGUUUUUACAAAAUUCACAAGCUUGACACAUGAAAGUCGUGUUGAUCAACUACACAACCGUGGAGCCGCACCAGACAGACAGAGUGCUACGACAGUUUAGAUGUAGACAACCGAUUCCGGUGGAUCCUGAGGUGUUUGAUGAUCAACACAAAUUCGACCUUUGGCAAUUGAAUACAGAUUGGACGAGAUACUGGUUUGAGUACAUGGAAAUGUGGGAAGAUCGGUAUGAAUAUCUACCUACUCGGGAACCAAUCAUCGUUCCGGAGUUAGUGUGCAUUCCAGAAUACAUGCCAUGGUUUAGGAUCCAUGUCAAGCCAUAUUUACUGACGUCAGAGGAGAGGAAGCGGCAAAUACGUGUCGAAAGGGAAAUGCGCGGGACUCUAAAUCCAAGACGACAAGACGACGAAGACAGCCCCUCAACGAGGCCCAAACAUUCACCCGGCUCAUCAUCAGCGGCCAUGCAAUCACCAGGCCCAACGAGAGCACCUACGCAGUCACCCG